GGCGGCGUGCCUAAUACAUGCAAGUAGAACGCUGAAGAGAGGAGCUUGCUCUUCUUGGAUGAGUUGCGAACGGGUGAGUAACGCGUAGGUAACCUGCCUUGUAGCGGGGGAUAACUAUUGGAAACGAUAGCUAAUACCGCAUAACAAUGGAUGACACAUGUCAUUUAUUUGAAAGGGGCAAUUGCUCCACUACAAGAUGGACCUGCGUUGUAUUAGCUAGUAGGUGAGGUAAUGGCUCACCUAGGCGACGAUACAUAGCCGACCUGAGAGGGUGAUCGGCCACACUGGGACUGAGACACGGCCCAGACUCCUACGGGAGGCAGCAGUAGGGAAUCUUCGGCAAUGGGGGCAACCCUGACCGAGCAACGCCGCGUGAGUGAAGAAGGUUUUCGGAUCGUAAAGCUCUGUUGUAAGUCAAGAACGGGUGUGAGAGUGGAAAGUUCACACUGUGACGGUAGCUUACCAGAAAGGGACGGCUAACUACGUGCCAGCAGCCGCGGUAAUACGUAGGUCCCGAGCGUUGUCCGGAUUUAUUGGGCGUAAAGCGAGCGCAGGCGGUUUGAUAAGUCUGAAGUUAAAGGCUGUGGCUCAACCAUAGUUCGCUUUGGAAACUGUCAAACUUGAGUGCAGAAGGGGAGAGUGGAAUUCCAUGUGUAGCGGUGAAAUGCGUAGAUAUAUGGAGGAACACCGGUGGCGAAAGCGGCUCUCUGGUCUGUAACUGACGCUGAGGCUCGAAAGCGUGGGGAGCGAACAGGAUUAGAUACCCUGGUAGUCCACGCCGUAAACGAUGAGUGCUAGGUGUUGGAUCCUUUCCGGGAUUCAGUGCCGCAGCUAACGCAUUAAGCACUCCGCCUGGGGAGUACGACCGCAAGGUUGAAACUCAAAGGAAUUGACGGGGGCCCGCACAAGCGGUGGAGCAUGUGGUUUAAUUCGAAGCAACGCGAAGAACCUUACCAGGUCUUGACAUCCCGAUGCUAUUUCUAGAGAUAGAAAGUUACUUCGGUACAUCGGUGACAGGUGGUGCAUGGUUGUCGUCAGCUCGUGUCGUGAGAUGUUGGGUUAAGUCCCGCAACGAGCGCAACCCCUAUUGUUAGUUGCCAUCAUUCAGUUGGGCACUCUAGCGAGACUGCCGGUAAUAAACCGGAGGAAGGUGGGGAUGACGUCAAAUCAUCAUGCCCCUUAUGACCUGGGCUACACACGUGCUACAAUGGUUGGUACAACGAGUUGCGAGUCGGUGACGGCGAGCUAAUCUCUUAAAGCCAAUCUCAGUUCGGAUUGUAGGCUGCAACUCGCCUACAUGAAGUCGGAAUCGCUAGUAAUCGCGGAUCAGCACGCCGCGGUGAAUACGUUCCCGGGCCUUGUACACACCGCCCGUCACACCACGAGAGUUUGUAACACCCGAAGUCGGUGAGGUAACCUUUUGGAGCCAGCCGCCUAAGGUGGGACAGAUGAUGGGGG
rnacentral:rRNA from 1 species